rnacentral:tRNA from 1 species
GCCUAAGAAGCUUAAUUUCAAGCGUUGGUCUUGUAAACCAAAGGAUGGGAUAAAUUUCUCCUUAGGCA